UAUAAUUUAUUUUCAUUUAUUCAGCACUUUCUUUUACUCAAUCUGUUACAAGGAGAAAUAAUCAGUGGAUCAACAGGCGACAGCUUCU